rnacentral:rRNA from 1 species
AUCCGGUGCUUGCACCGGGGAUUAGUGGCGAACGGGUGAGUAACACGUGAGUAACCUGCCCUUGACUCUGGGAUAAGCCUGGGAAACCGGGUCUAAUACCGGAUACGACCUUUCACCGCAUGGUGGUUGGUGGAAAGAUUUUUUGGUUUUGGAUGGACUCGCGGCCUAUCAGCUUGUUGGUGAGGUAAUGGCUCACCAAGGCGACGACGGGUAGCCGGCCUGAGAGGGUGACCGGCCACACUGGGACUGAGACACGGCCCAGACUCCUACGGGAGGCAGCAGUGGGGAAUAUUGCACAAUGGGCGAAAGCCUGAUGCAGCGACGCCGCGUGAGGGAUGACGGCCUUCGGGUUGUAAACCUCUUUCAGCAGGGAAGAAGCGAAAGUGACGGUACCUGCAGAAGAAGCGCCGGCUAACUACGUGCCAGCAGCCGCGGUAAUACGUAGGGCGCAAGCGUUGUCCGGAAUUAUUGGGCGUAAAGAGCUCGUAGGCGGUUUGUCGCGUCUGCUGUGAAAGCCCGGGGCUCAACCCCGGGUCUGCAGUGGGUACGGGCAGACUAGAGUGCAGUAGGGGAGACUGGAAUUCCUGGUGUAGCGGUGAAAUGCGCAGAUAUCAGGAGGAACACCGAUGGCGAAGGCAGGUCUCUGGGCUGUAACUGACGCUGAGGAGCGAAAGCAUGGGGAGCGAACAGGAUUAGAUACCCUGGUAGUCCAUGCCCGUAAACGUUGGGCACUAGGUGUGGGGGACAUUCCACGUUUUCCGCGCCGU